rnacentral:lncRNA from 1 species
UUUUUUUUUUUUUGGGAAUACCUCAGUGCUACAAGUUUCACCCUAGAAGCAACGGAAGAUUUUAAUUUAUUGUAGUUGUAAACAGAAUUUAAAAGAAAUAAAGUAUAAAACAUCAUUGCACUGUGACUGGUAGGGGAAAAACUGACAGUUUCCUAUUUGCACAUGUUUAAUAUUUGGCUGUUAUAUAUAUGGUCCUCUGUUGGGGGAGGAAACUUAUGAAGGAUAUUUUUUAAUUUAAUUUUUUUAAUAUUGGUAAAUAGGCCUGCAACAGCAAACUAGAAGUACAACAUGGUAGGUGGCAUUAAGAACAUACUGUAGUGUGGAUAUAUUUCUUCUUUUUUUAACGUAAUAUUGACAAGUUUUAUUAAUAUUUUUUUAAAUUGUUACGUUUAUAAAUUUGGUACUUUAGGUACAGCCAGUAUAAGACACUGAAUGCGACAUUUGUUAAAAAGAGCUGCUGCACUCCUAUUUUUGUAAAUUUUACUAACAAGUAGAGUAAUGUAGACAUUCAAUAGACAAGGUAGAGCAAGGCAUCUUUAACAAAACAAGGCACCAUACUGCUAACCGAAAGGAGAAACCUUGUUUUUCUUGUUUUUAAAAAAAAAAUCAUGCUUUUUAUGUAAUAUUUUAGGUUUUUUUCUUAUUUCAGAACAACCAGGUUUAAGCAAAAUGCUGGACGCUUUUUAAAUAUUGAGACUUGAUCAAGUAAUAAAAGAAAUAAAACCGAAUUCUUUAAAAAAUAAAAAGGUAAAAAAAAAAAAUACUACGAACCAAAUUCCCUGCGAUUCAGUGUGCCGUCAGGGAAUUUUUUAUUGCUAUUUUGUCAAUGUUGAUGAUGUACUGUACUACCAGUUGGUUUUCCUCUCCAUUCCCUGUCACCUCAUAGAAUAUUCUUUGUUGAUCAUUGUUGUAUGUUAAUAGUGUAUAAAAUGGCUUAUCUUGUAAGAGUGCUGUCCUGAUGGUAGUGUAGUGAAUUUCCCCCCCCUCUUUCUCUCUUCCUCUUCUAGUACAUAUUGGUAGGUGUAUCGUAAUUAAGGUUAAAAAUUUAGAUGUAGUUAUUCAGAUUUAGGACCAGUAAGGAUAGAACUUUCUCUUAUUUAAGAAAAAAAAAUUGCUAAUAAUUUUGGGAAGGUUUUCCUUUUUUUGUUUUUUUUUUUUCUUCUCUUUUUUCUUUCUGUGCUUUUUUUCUCUUGUUUUUUUUUCUUCUGUUGAUCUGAUGCGGUUUCAACUAACCAAAGGUCUCACAAUGUUAAAAAUGCUGGCAAACUCUUAAGGCAUUUGUAGAUCCCCACCCAUGACUUUGGAAAGGGGAUGUGCCAUACUACCUUAAAUGCUAAUGCUAGAUAUGCAAAACUGGAUUUUUUUAAUUUAUUUUUUAAAAGAGGGAGGCACGGUAUAUUAAAACGAUUUUACUAAGAGAAAAAAAAAAAACAUAUUUUUUUAAGAAUGCUCAGAAGAAAUUGCUAAUCUGUGUGAAUAUGUUUUAGAUGUUUAUAUACCUUUUGAGAAGUCCCAGUGGCCCAUAGCACAAAUGUCGUGGAAUCCAAGAUGUUUUGAUGUGGCUACCUAGACUAAGGUUCACGUUAGUCCCCACUCAUCUAGAAAUCAAUUUUGAAGGAUUUUUUUUUUCCCUUCGUUCGUUUGGGGGUUUUUUGUAAAUUUUUCAGCACAAAGGCUCAGCUCCACCUUUGUUUUACUCAAGCCCAGGCGGGAGCGAAGGAUGGUGGAAUCACGGAGGGGUUUGGGUUGGAAGGGACCCUGAAGGUCCGGUGCCACCAGGGACCCUCCCGCUGUCCCAGGGGGCUCCGAGCCCCGUGCCCAGCCUGGCCUGGGACCCUGCAGGGACAGACAACACUGGGCACCCAAGGGCCAGUCCCAAACACCAGGGACAUUCCCUGGUGCCACCAGGGCUUGGGACCUCCCCGUCACAUAGAGUCCUUUGUGAUCGGCUUGAUUAAAGCAAAGCCUGAUCUGUCCUUUGGGGUUUUUAUUUUUUUAUUACACUUCAUAAAUGUUAAUUUUGAGUUGAAUUUGUAGCUUGGACUUUAAGGUAGCAUGGCUCUCUUUGCUGUAAGUUGAUUUUUUUUCCAUUGUACAGCAGCGUCUGCUGGUGAAUGUCACACAUCUUGCUAGGCUUAGUUAAAUCAUUGGGUAAUUGUGGGUGAUAACGACCUGAAAGGUGUUGGGAUUUCUUUUCUUCCCUGCUUUCAUCUGUAGUGUGAACGAGGGCUAGCGACUCCAGCCACACGUCCCUUCCUGUUUCGUUUCUGCCAUUCACUCAAUGCAACAUAAUCAAUAAUAAAGCAAUAUAGUUUACUACAUUUUUACUGAAGGCCAGCCAUGGUUCUGUAUGAUAUUGCAUACGAAACUGUUUACAAAAACAAAAACAAAAAAAAAGAAAAAAAAAAAGAAAAAAAAAAAAGACAACACUAACUCAUAGCUGUCUUUUAUGCUAUGGCGAUGUCUCUUGGGUGGAAUCUUCUGAAUUCUUUUUUUUAGUGGUUUGGUUUGUUUUUUUCAAAGCGACAUAGUUAGCUGAGAGAGAGGGAGAAGCGAGGUUAGUGUCAAAGAGACAGGAUGCGUGGAAGGCACACCGGCAGCCCCGGUCUCGCACAGACACUGUAGAGUUUCCUGGUACAGAACAGCCGGCCCCGCGGAACACUACGUCAGGAGAUUCUGUAAGCUAAGCAAUACUUUAUACUGUACUGAAAUUACCAAAAACAACCACAACAAUAAUAAUAACGAUGAUGAUAAUAAUAAUUUUUAAAAAGGAAAAAAAAAAAA